rnacentral:rRNA from 1 species
AGCAACAAAUGCCCUGCUUCCAGGAAAAGCCUCUAAGCAUCAGGUAACACGAAAUCGUACCCCAAACCGACACAGGUGGUCAGGUAGAGAAUACCAAGGCGCUUGAGAGAACUCGGGUGAAGGAACUAGGCAAAAUGGUGCCGUAACUUCGGGAGAAGGCACGCUGACACGUAGGUGAAGUGAUUUACUCAUGGAGCUGAAGUCAGUCGAAGAUACCAGCUGGCUGCAACUGUUUAUUAAAAACACAGCACUGUGCAAACACGAAAGUGGACGUAUACGGUGUGACGCCUGCCCGGUGCCGGAAGGUUAAUUGAUGGGGUCAGCGUAAGCGAAGCUCCUGAUCGAAGCCCCGGUAAACGGCGGCCGUAACUAUAACGGUCCUAAGGUAGCGAAAUUCCUUGUCGGGUAAGUUCCGACCUGCACGAAUGGCGUAAUGAUGGCCAGGCUGUCUCCACCCGAGACUCAGUGAAAUUGAACUCGCUGUGAAGAUGCAGUGUACCCGCGGCAAGACGGAAAGACCCCGUGAACCUUUACUAUAGCUUGACACUGAACAUUGAGCCUUGAUGUGUAGGAUAGGUGGGAGGCUUUGAAGUGUGGACGCCAGUCUGCAUGGAGCCGACCUUGAAAUACCACCCUUUAAUGUUUGAUGUUCUAACGUGGACCCGUAAUCCGGGUUGCGGACAGUGUCUGGUGGGUAGUUUGACUGGGGCGGUCUCCUCCUAAAGAGUAACGGAGGAGCACGAAGGUUGGCUAAUCCUGGUCGGACAUCAGGAGGUUAGUGCAAUGGCAUAAGCCAGCUUGACUGCGAGCGUGACGGCGCGAGCAGGUGCGAAAGCAGGUCAUAGUGAUCCGGUGGUUCUGAAUGGAAGGGCCAUCGCUCAACGGAUAAAAGGUACUCCGGGGAUAACAGGCUGAUACCGCCCAAGAGUUCAUAUCGACGGCGGUGUUUGGCACCUCGAUGUCGGCUCAUCACAUCCUGGGGCUGAAGUAGGUCCCAAGGGUAUGGCUGUUCGCCAUUUAAAGUGGUACGCGAGCUGGGUUUAGAACGUCGUGAGACAGUUCGGUCCCUAUCUGCCGUGGGCGCUGGAGAACUGAGGGGGGCUGCUCCUAGUACGAGAGGACCGGAGUGGACGCAUCACUGGUGUUCGGGUUGUCAUGCCAAUGGCACUGCCCGGUAGCUAAAUGCGGAAGAGAUAAGUGCUGAAAGCAUCUAAGCACGAAACUUGCCCCGAGAUGAGUUCUCCCUGAGACUUAGAGUCUCCUGAAGGAACGUUGAAGACGACGACGUUGAUAGGCCGGGUGUGUAAGCGCAGCGAUGCGUUGAGCUAACCGGUACUAAUGAACCGUGAGGCUUAACCUU